rnacentral:rRNA from 1 species
GCAGUCGAACGAUGAAGACCGUGCUUGCACGGUUGGAUUAGUGGCGAACGGGUGAGUAUCACGUGAGUAACCUUCCCUUAACUCUGGGAUAAGCCCGGGAAACUGGGUCUAAUACCGGAUACGACCAGUCCUCGCAUGGGGUGCUGGUGGAAAGAUUUAUCGGUUUUGGAUGGACUCGCGGCCUAUCAGCUUGUUGGUGAGGUAAAGGCUCACCAAGGCGAUGACGGGUAGCCGGCCUGAGAGGGUGACCGGCCACACUGGGACUGAGACACGGCCCAGACUCCUACGGGAGGCAGCAGUGGGGAAUAUUGCACAAUGGGCGAAAGCCUGAUGCAGCGACGCCGCGUGCGGGAUGACGGCCUUCGGGUUGUAAACCGCUUUCAGCAGGGAAGAAGCGCAAGUGACGGUACCUGCAGAAGAAGCGCCGGCUAACUACGUGCCAGCAGCCGCGGUAAUACGUAGGGCGCGAGCGUUAUCCGGAAUUAUUGGGCGUAAAGAGCUCGUAGGCGGUUUGUCACGUCUGCUGUGAAAGCCCGGGGCUCAACCCCGGGUGUGCAGUGGGUACGGGCAGACUAGAGUGCAGUAGGGGAGACUGGAAUUCCUGGUGUAGCGGUGAAAUGCGCAGAUAUCAGGAGGAACACCGAUGGCGAAGGCAGGUCUCUGGGCUGUUACUGACGCUGAGGAGCGAAAGCAUGGGGAGCGAACAGGAUUAGAUACCCUGGUAGUCCAUGCCGUAAACGUUGGGCACUAGGUGUGGGGAACAUUCCACGUUUUCCGCG